AAGAAAGGAUAAGAUAAAAUUUAGUUGAACGAUAGCUAGUUGUUCGAUUCCAUUGUUCAGGUACUACUACCUCUAUUGGAUUUCGAUUAAGCGACAAAGGAUUCGUCUCUUCUGUAUACGUGAAACCCCAGUUCUCUAUUCCGGAACACACAAGCAACUAACAUCCAGCCAAAGUGAAUCACAGUUAUACGAAGAAAAUGCGACCUACAUACGUAUACGUUCAAACAAUUACAAAUAGCUCAUCGAUUUCUUUUAUCCGACAUUAAAAUCGAUAAGUCAUUACUGAAGAAAGAAAUUUCAAGAUUUUUCAAGAAGAAUUUUUCUAACAACGUAUCUCACCAAGUCAUUUGUCAGAAUCUACGUGGAAGAAUUGACUGCAACUACAAGAGGAGAACGGUUGGUUGUUGCAGAACUUCGAACGUUUUGCUCCAGAAAUUACAACGUCAGAAGGAAAAAAGAGAAUUACGUUUUGUCUCACACCAUUGAGCUUCGUUCAACUCUAUUCGAUGUUUAAACUAAAUCAACGACGAGAUCUUAAAUCUAUCCGUGCGUCCGAAAGACGAAAAGUGCACUCUUACGAGCUCUUCCUAUUUCUUUGAUAAAAAAAAAAAAAAAAAAAAAAAAGGAACUUAAAGGAAUGAACGGUGAUUAUCGGAUAUGCAUUUUGUAAAUUACAAAACAUCGACUAUAAUUUUAUUCUAUGGAGAAGAUACUUAAAAAAAAAAAAAAAAAAAAAAA